rfam:Schistosoma haematobium scaffold368_24, whole genome shotgun sequence.
GCACUGCUGAGGAGUCCCAUACUAGAACGAAACGGUCGUCCAAUAC